rnacentral:rRNA from 1 species
CAGCCGCCGCGGUAAUACGUAGGGUGCGAGCGUUAAUCGGAAUUACUGGGCGUAAAGCGUGCGCAGGCGGCUUUGCAAGACAGAUGUGAAAUCCCCGGGCUCAACCUGGGAACUGCAUUUGUGACUGCAAGGCUAGAGUACGGUAGAGGGGGAUGGAAUUCCGCGUGUAGCAGUGAAAUGCGUAGAUAUGCGGAGGAACACCAAUGGCGAAGGCAAUCCCCUGGACCUGUACUGACGCUCAUGCACGAAAGCGUGGGGAGCAAACAGGAUUAGAUACCCCGGUAGUCCCUGUCUCUUAUAC